rnacentral:tRNA from 1 species
GCGAGUAUGGUGAAGUGGUUAACACAUCGGAUUGUGGUUCCGACAUGCGUGGGUUCGAUCCCCACUACUCGCCCCA